GGUAUCGCUCAAAACCGUAGCGUUGUGCAUCUCCCUAAUCAUCUCUGGCAAUAGAUACUGCAUUUCCUGUUUUAAUGCAACGAAGCAUCAAGAUGGACGAUCUCCUUAUAUUCAUAUCUAGGUCUUCCGAUUCAGCAGCGUAGUCGAUGAAUCCCGAGGAGAUUAAGAAGUACGAAGUUUUAUUUCUCAAGAUUGCUUCAGCCUGAUACAAAUUUUCCACAGAUCAAGACACGAUCACGGGACACGAUCGAUCGGACAAGCUUCCCUACGUCUCCGCCAGAGCGAGCCAUCUUUAUCGAGGUUCAACGCAACCGUCGUUUGAAUAUCGUACGAUCCAUCUUCGUUCAGCUACGUCGAGAAGCGAUAGAAAGUCGAGAUGUAGGAGAGUUUCAAGUUAUAGGAUGGAAUUUAUAACCAGACGUCGUAAAAAGGAAAUUCAAUACUUAACAGCUUCGAUAAAUAGACAAAUGAAUUUCGUUACUAUCUCCGGUGACCAGAGUCAGGACGACAUAUGGUAGAACCUAUAUAGGUAUAUAGUACCUAUAAUGCGACGGUCGGAUAAAGACAGAAAUGGGAAAUAAAAGCACGCAGGCUUUCUAAGGUAACGAAGAAAUAAGACGUCAAGCGAAUGAAACAAUGGAGACCUAAUGCGAUUAGAGGAUUCACCGAGUCACUACAAAAGCCUCUAAAGGACCUAGUCGUGACUACAUCUUGAAGCAUAUCCUGGCAAAGAGUAACGUAUUUCAUGGAAAAUUUAAAUUUUUCAUUUACAAUGUACCUACUUGUGGUGACAUACAAGACCAGAGGACAAUGAAUUUGCUGAAUUUCACCUGGACUGGAAUUACACUUGCAAAUCUUAAUACCACUUAUAAGAUUUGCAAAUUAAUUGCAAACGGUCAUGCGGAUCUACAUUGGGGCGACUGUUCUCCUUUUUUUUUUCUAAAAUACCCUGUGGAUACGUAUCACGAGGGACUACUCCUGGGACAAGAUGGAUUUCAAGAGAUUCCGUCGAAUUUUCGUAAAAUCUUAUCAAACCGGGAUUGAACGAGAACCUUUCCAUUUGCAAAUUACACGUGGCUACCCGCUACGCAAAUCUUCAAGAUUAUUUGCCACGUGGGACAGUAAUCCGAUCUUCGAGAUCCUUAUUCGAUGCAAAUACCAAACUGACCAAAAAAAAAGGAAAAAAAAGCGGUGAGGUAACAGAAAGAAAUAGUAGGAAAGAAAAAAAGAAUCCGUUAGCAAAAACGAAAAAUUCUCAAGUCUGAACCCUCGUCGUUCUCAAGGUUCCUUAAGAAUAAUGUUACUCCACAAUAAAGAAGAAAAAGAUAUGUCAAGGGUCGCGGAUCUAGAAACGAUAUCAGCCAAGACUAGAAACGAAUGUAUUCCAUUGAUUACAAGAAGAAAAGGGAGGUUCAAAGGGCCUUUCUCGAGGUGUCGGUCGCUUCAGUGACAAGUGACAAAAUGCCAGUAAAGCCCGUGGCGUCGCGACGCUUUGUGCUUCUCGUCGCUGGCGUAGGGCCAAUCGCUCUCGUAGCUGCGACAGCAGGAAUGGGAACGACGAGGAGAGUAUAGGAAAAGUACGGUGGUGCGAGUGGACGUUUGAGAGUUUCCGGAUUCUAGGGGCCACUCUCUCUUGUGGCGUCCGGACGUACUGUACCAUGGACAAAGCGUCGCUGUUGUUUUUGCCAACGAGCUCGAUACCUAAUUGCAAAUUAUAUCCUAGUCGUGCUCUCUCCCUGUACGUACACGUAAACCAGCAGAAAUGAGAACUGAAACGGGUAGAGAAACAUAGUUAGAAAUAGUAUCAGAAACAGGAAGCACUCAGGGCAAAUAACAUGGAGACUAAUUUUAUCAGUGCAAAGGUUAAUACCGUGAUCGUUAGCAUUUCCAGUACAAAGCACGUUCUCAUGAGAUAAUGUUAUGUACAUGGAAUUCUUGGUGGGGAGUGCUUUGAUACCAGGAUUGGGUUUGUGUACUGGGGCAGCCAGAAAUAUCGUUCAUGAGAGCUUUGAGAGGGGUGAUUCUUUCAAUAUUUACCCUAUACUCACGAAAAGAGUGUCCACGGUUGGUUUAUUGACUGAGGAUAAUAAUUUGACAGGAUCAUGGGAUAUAAUGGAAUGAUGUAAGGGAUGAUAACCAUAUGGAAGCCAUAAAUAUCGUCACGGGUGUCAACCACUGACAACGGAAGUUGCCUACAGAAAGGUCAGCGUCAGAGUAACCAGCCUAGGUGGACCCUUUGUUAGUUGAUGGAACAGGUGUAGCCAACCAGGGUUCCUCCUAGGGUGUGUUUUCCUUGUAGAUGUAAUGGAACCUGGUGGCUGUCGUAUGGGAUGCAUAUGACGUUCAAUCCUUCAGAAAGGAAGGAGGGUUGGAGGUUGGAAACUAGACUGUCCAUAGUUCUAAAUUAGGGGACUGUGCUGGAGUUGUGGUCCUUUCUUGUAUGAAGGAUACAUGGAUGACAGUGCCAGGGUUAUGAGGAAGGUGUUCUGAAAUAAUAAGCAUCGUCCAUAAGGAUGUCUUCAGAGUGAUCCUAAAACAGAUGGUAUUGUACCAUAGUGUAUGUGAAAUUGCUAGGAUAGCAAGGAUAAUCAGAUAUUUAAUUCUUUACUAUUUCAGCUCCAGGAGUUACAGUGCCACGUUGACGAUACUCCCAUCGGCAACGUCAAUUUUUAUAAAAUUUGUAGACAGCACAGAUUCAAUCAAUUUUUAUUAAUACGUCUUCGCUGGGUAGUUCCGUAUGGAUAAGUCUAUUAAGGGUGGUGCCUCUAUGGCCCAAGAUUAGGUUCAUCACAUUCCUAGAAAAUGAGGUUAAUAUUUAUUAUAGAUGAGCUUGCUCGGCUGGUCGACCGAUCGAGUAGUCCAGAGGGUUAAAGUCAUAAAAACAGAAGUGCUAGUCAUCCUGGCGACCAUGUUCAACCCUUAGUUUUCAUCCAUCUGUUAUCUGCUAUCUUUAUUCUGGCCUUGACUCCAGUGCUUUCUUUUGUAACCCAACCUUCGUUCCCUGCUUUCACUUUAUCGAUAGCAUCGACAUACCCUUAUCGUCGUAUGUUUUCUUCAAUAGUUACUGGAUACACUUUUUUGAUAUUGAAUAAAUAAAUAUUCCAGCCGUAUCAAUUUCAUCUUCCAUAUUUGGUAUUGGAAUGACACACCGAUCUUCUACCUACGCAGAUUGAAGUAGGUAUUUUUACAAUUUUCACAUCCUAAGAGUGACUUUUUGUAAUUUGAUGGCUUCGCACGUCCUUACCCGCGAGGCGACCCUGGGCUUCGGGAACAUGUUUUUCUUUCUUUUGGAAAAUAAAUAUUUAACUUCCGGAACGUUCACGAUUUGCUGUUACCCCAUGACCCUUUCAUCAAUCUAUUUCGUUCUGAACUUAUCCACUUACAUUUUGUUACAUGUUAUGUUCGUGACAGUGUUCCAUGCCUGAUACUUUUAUUUUAUUGGCAACGAAAAUUACUGUGAAAUUUCAAAAGCGGAAUCUGUAGAAAAAACUUUGUGUUUCUCGUAAAAUUUUUUCAGCGUAAAGAAUCCAUGGUGUACUUGACAUAUCCAUUCCAUUGAUCAUAAAUUCGAGUAAUAAAAAUUUAAUUUAAUAAUAAAACGCAACAAAAUUUACGAACAAAAUGAAAGAUCUUUAAAUUGAAGUUAAAAAAAAUUUAUGAUUCAGUUACAAUUUAAUUUCAAUAUAAACCAAUCGAAUAAAAAUACAAAUAAUUCAGAGACCGCCGUAAUUCCAGUACUCCGCGUCUCAGAAAAAUAAAAUUAUUAAAUUUACGGCAGUAAAUGAGAUUCUCUAUAUGAAAGAAAAAAAAAAUAAUAAUAAAUAAAUAAAAACUCAUAAAGAAAUGUUAGUGAAAGUUCACUCUCCGUCCUACUGUGUCCGCCUUUUCUAAACCACUCGGUAAUUUCGCGUAACCGUAUUCGACUUUUGCUCUGAGCGUCGGCUAAGGGUGGUAACCCCGAGGAUCCUGAGCCGGACGGUUCUAGAGUUUCUCCAUAGAAUAAGAAAGACAGAGAUAGUAAAGUCGAUAUUCAACGAACCAAUAAUUCACAGGUCAUUCUUUAUUCAAACCCUGAAAGCGGUUCUCUAUCUAAAAUCUUAAAACUCAGCAAACCCAAGCUACAAGACUCAUCCACAUCCAAGGAUCCUCGAGGAUACCGGGUGUGCACCCAGACUUCAUCGUCGAGAAGCGAAUCCAAAGAUAACGAAUGUCCUUGAGGAAAUAAAAGCAAAAAUAAAAUAUUUAAAUAGGCCCCAGCAA